rnacentral:rRNA from 1 species
CCUACGGGUGGCAGCAGUGAGGAAUAUUGGUCAAUGGACGAGAGUCUGAACCAGCCAAGUAGCGUGAAGGAUGACUGCCCUAUGGGUUUUAAACUUCUUUUAUAAGGGAAUAAAACGCGGCACGUGUGCCUUUUUGCAUGUACUUUAUGAAUAAGGAUCGGCUAACUCCGUGACAGCAGCCGCGGUAAUCCGGAGGAUCCGCGCGUUAUCCGGAUUUAUUGGGUUUAAAGGGAGCGUAGAUGGGUUUUUACGUCAGUUGUGAAAGUUUGCGGCUCAACCGUAAAAUUGCAAUUGAUACUGCAGGCUUGAGUACAGUUGAGGUAGGCGGAAUUCGUGGUGUAGCGGUGAAAUGCUUAGAUAUCACGAAGAACCCCGAUUGCGAAGGCAGCUUACUAAACUGUGACUGACAUUGAUGCUCGAAAGUGUGGGUAUCAAACAGGAUUAGAUACCCUAGUAGUC